GACGAACGCUGGCGGCGUGCCUAAUACAUGCAAGUCGAACGAACAGCCACUUGAACUUGUGCAUGUCAGUGUUACUGGCGCGCGGGUGAGUCACACGUGGAGAACCUACCCUUAAGCGGGGAAUAACCAUUGGAAACGAUGACUAAGACCGCAUAGAAUCACAGCUCAGAUGAGCAAUGAAGGAAAGACGGCUUCGGCUGUCACUUAAGGAUGCCUCCGCGGUGCAUUAGCUAGAGGGUUGGGUAAAGGCCUACCAUGGCAGUGAUGGAUAGCCGAACUGGGAGGGGGAUCGGCCACCUUGGGACGGGAACGGGGCCAAAACGCCUACGGGAGGGCGCAGAAGGGAAUCUGCCGCAAUGGUCGCAAGUCUGGCGGAGCGACGCGAAGUGUGUGAAGAAGGUCCUCGGAUCGUAAAGCACGCUUGUGAGUGAAGAACGACCGGUAGAGUAACUGUUACCGGAGUGACGGUAUCUAAUCAGAAAGCCACGGCUAACUACGUG
rnacentral:rRNA from 1 species